rnacentral:rRNA from 1 species
GACGAACGCUGGCGGCGUGCUUAACACAUGCAAGUCGAACGAAGUGGCGAACGGGUGAGUAACGCGUAAUCAUCCUGCCCUUCAGAGGGGGACAACAGUUGGAAAUGACUGCUAAUACCGCAUACUGAAGGAGGUGAUUUCGUUGGAUUAGGUAGUUGGAGGGGUAACGGCCAACCAAGGCGAAGACCAGUAGCCGGUCUGGGGGGAUGGACGGCCACAUUGGGACUGAGAACAGGCCCAGACCGCUACGGGAGGCAGCAGGGGGGAAUCUUCCGCAAUGGGCGGAAGUCUGACUGAGCAACGCCGCGUGAGUGAUGACGGCCUUCGGGUUGUAAAGCUCUGUUAAUCUGGACGCGGUACCGAAAUAGAAAGCCACGGCUAACUACGUGCCAACAGCCGCGGUAAUAC